AAAGACCCAGAGAUCUGAUCAGUGACGGCGAGUGGCUAACAACUCGGGGGUCUCAAGACUCUAGGGCCAGGAGGAUCGCGAGGAGGAACGUGUGGCCUCUGAGGCCUGCGCCCAGCUGCCAGUUCACGGACCCCAAGUCCUGGGCCUGUACCCCGGUUUCUCCCGGUUUCUCCCGGCUGGGGAGCUGCCGCGGCCAAGCCAAGGGGGCGGCCCGGAGCCAGAUUUGCACCAAGGCACCACUCUACCAUCCAUGGAGUUCUACUGGAUUUUGUCCUUGGUGGUACAGAUGGAACCAAUGGAAGCUGAUUAUUGCUGGGGCUCAGUGCCUACACUCUGAAUCCACUCCUCUUGGAGGCCAUUUUUUCCAUUUUGUUGCCAUUGUUAUUGUUGUUGGAUAGGACAGAAGGAAAACGAGAGAGGAAGACAGAAAGGGGGAGAGAAAGACAACUACAGACCUGCUUCGCUGCCUGUGAAGAGACCCCCAUGCAGGU